rnacentral:rRNA from 1 species
CCUACGGGAGACAGUAGUGGGGAAUAUUGCACAAUGGGGGAAACCCUGAUGCAGCGACGCCGCGUGAGUGAAGAAGUAAUUCGUUAUGUAAAGCUCUAUCAGCAGGGAAGAAAAUGACGGUACCUGAGUAAGAAGCCCCGGCUAACUACGUGCCAGCAGCCGCGGUAAUACGGAGGGGGCAAGCGUUAUCCGGAUUUACUGGGUGUAAAGGGAGCGUAGACGGGAGUGCAAGUCUGGAGUGAAAGGCGGGGGCUCAACCCCAGAACUGCACUUGAAACUGUAAGGCUGGAGUGUAGGAGAGGUAGGUGGAAUUCCUGGUGUAGCGGUGAAAUGCGUAGAGAUUAGGAGGAACACCCGUGGCGAAGGCGGCUUACUAGACUGUAACUGACGUUGAUGCUCGAAAGCGUGGGGAGCAAACAGGAUUAGAUACCCGAGUAGUC